rnacentral:misc_RNA from 1 species
GAAAUGCGAUAAGUAGUGUGAAUUGCAGAAUUCAGUGAAUCAUCGAAUCUUUGAACGCACAUUGCGCCCCUUGGUAUUCCAUGGGGCAUGCCUGUUCGAGCGUCAUUUGUACCCUCAAGCUCUGCUUGGUGUUGGGUGUUUGUCCCGUCUCCGCGCGUGGACUCGCCCCAAAGUGAUUGGCAGCCGGCGUACUGGUCCCGGAGCGCAGCACAUGUCGCGCAAACGAGUGCCUUGGUACGGCGGCGUCCAUAAGCCCCUCUCUCACGCUCUUGACCUCGGAUCAGGUAGGGAUACCCGCUGAACUUAAG